UGCCAGCAGCCGCGGUAAUACGUAGGGGGCGAGCGUUGUCCGGAUUUAUUGGGCGUAAAGCGUACGUAGGCGGAUUAAUAAGUCAGAGGUGAAAGGUCUGGGCUCAACCGAGGCACUGCCUUUGAUACUGUUAGACUUGAAUCAAGCUAAGGUAGGCGGAAUGUGACAUGUAGCGGUGAAAUGCAUAGAUAUGUCAUAGAACACCAAUUGCGAAGGCAGCUUACUAGACUUGUAUUGACGCUGAGGCACGAAAGCGUGGGGAGCAAACAGGAUUAGAUA
rnacentral:rRNA from 1 species